rnacentral:rRNA from 1 species
GUUUGAUCCUGGCUCAGGACGAACGCUGGCGGCGUGCCUAACACAUGCAAGUCGAACGAAGUAUAUUUUCGGAUAUGCUUAGUGGCGGACGGGUGAGUAACGCGUGAACAAUCUGCCCUGUACACAGGAAUAGCCUCGGGAAACUGGGAUUAAAACCGGAUAACACUUUUUGGCCGCAUGGCCGGGAAGUCAAAUUGAUUUAGAGGUACAGGAUGAGUUCGCGUCUGAUUAGCUAGUUGGUGAGGUAACGGCUCACCAAGGCGACGAUCAGUAGCCGGCCUGAGAGGGUGAACGGCCACACUGGAACUGAGACACGGUCCAGACUCCUACGGGAGGCAGCAGUGGGGAAUAUUGCACAAUGGAGGAAACUCUGAUGCAGCGACGCCGCGUGAGUGAAGAAGGUCUUCGGAUCGUAAAACUCUGUCCUUGGUGACGAAAAAAAUGACGGUAGCCAAGGAGGAAGCCCCGGCUAACUACGUGCCAGCAGCCGCGGUAAUACGUAGGGGGCGAGCGUUGUCCGGAUUUACUGGGCGUAAAGGGUGAGUAGGCGGUAAUAUGUGUCAGAUGUAAAAGGCUAUGGCUUAACCAUAGUUGGCAUUUGAAACUGUAUUACUUGAGUGCAGGAGAGGUAAGUGGAAUUCCUAGUGUAGCGGUGAAAUGCGUAGAUAUUAGGAGGAACACCAGUGGCGAAGGCGACUUACUGGACUGUAACUGACGCUGAGUCACGAAAGCGUGGGUAGCAAACAGGAUUAGAUACCCUGGUAGUCCACGCUGUAAACGAUGAGUGCUANGUGUUGGGUAGCGAUAUUCAGUGCCGAAGUAAACACAAUAAGCACUCCGCCUGGGGAGUACGGUCGCAAGACUGAAACUCAAAGGAAUUGACGGGGACCCGCACAAGCAGCGGAGCAUGUGGUUUUAUUUCGAAGCACGCGAAGAACCUUUACCAGGCUUGACAUCCCCUUGACCGGCACAGAGAUGUGCCCUCUCCUUC